rnacentral:rRNA from 1 species
UACAGAGGGUGCGAGCGUUAAUCGGAAUUACUGGGCGUAAAGCGCGCGUAGGCGGCUUUGCAAGUCGGGUGUGAAAUCCCCAGGCUUAACCUGGGAACUGCAUUCGAGACUGCAUUGCUAGAGUAUGGGAGAGGGAAGUGGAAUUUCCGGUGUAGCGGUGAAAUGCGUAGAUAUCGGAAGGAACAUCAGUGGCGAAAGCGACUUCCUGGACCAAUACUGACGCUCAUGAUGCGGAAAGCGUGGGGGAGCAAAACAGG